rnacentral:rRNA from 1 species
AUUGAACGCUGGCGGCAGGCCUAACACAUGCAAGUCGAACGGUAACAGGAAGAAGCUUGCUUCUUUGCUGACGAGUGGCGGACGGGUGAGUAAUGUCUGGGAAACUGCCUGAUGGAGGGGGAUAACUACUGGAAACGGUAGCUAAUACCGCAUAACGUCGCAAGACCAAAGAGGGGGACCUCCGGGCCCCUUGCCAUCGGAUGUGCCCAGAUGGGAUUAGCUAGUAGGUGGGGUAACGGCUCACCUAGGCGACGAUCCCUAGCUGGUCUGAGAGGAUGACCAGCCACACUGGAACUGAGACACGGUCCAGGCUCCUACGGGAGGCAGCAGUGGGGAAUAUUGCACAAUGGGCGCAAGCCUGAUGCAGCCAUGCCGCGUGUAUGAAGAAGGCCUUCGGGUUGUAAAGUACUUUCAGCGGGGAGGAAGGGAGUAAAGUUAAUACCUUUACUCAUUGACGUUACCCGCAGAAGAAGCACCGGCUAACUCCGUG